rnacentral:rRNA from 1 species
GACGAACCGUGCGACCGUUGUUCGGAAUCACUGGGCUUAAAGGGCGCGUAGGCGGGCCUUCAAGUCCGGGGUGAAAUCCUCCAGCCUAACUGGAGAAGAGCCUCGGAGACUGAGGGCCUCGAGGAGGGUAGGGGCAAGCGGAACUAUGGGUGGAGCGGUGAAAUGCAUUGAUAUCCAUAGGAACGCCGGUGGCGAAGGCGGCUUGCUGGACCCUUUCUGACGCUGAGGCGCGAAAGCCAGGGGAGCAAACGGG